UGAACAUGUUAGUUUUCUGGAUCAUCGUCACUGAAAACCCAUACUAAAGGAUAAUCCUCUGGAAUAGUUGUAUAAUCAUUCUUUGAUGGAGGAUUACUUGCAAGAUCCAUGAACUUUGGCUGCAUAAAGCUUUCUUCUUGUUGGCUGUUAAGACAACCCAACAAUCACUUUUUAGCAAUGAGUUUUGUGAACAACUCUUUGUACCUGUGAUCAAAUAAAACAAUUAUCUCUCCAACCAUUGUUCAAUUUUACCUUUUCAUCAAAACAUAAAAAAUAAAAAAUAAAAAAAGAAAUGAACUGUAACGAAAAAUAAUCAAAACAAAGAGUUAGUUGUUGAAUAAUAUAAAUCCACAAAACUUAAAUUCGCAGGUGAAAAUAAAACAUAAGAGUAAGAGUGUAAGUGAUGAUCAUGAACAAUUUAUAUAGAGAUAUCAGUUUGACCUUAUGCAAGUGACUUUUAUAUUUGUUUCAUCUUGUGAUCGAUUUUCGUUGCGUAGGACACAUUGGCUCUACAGAACAAUGCUUGGUACACAUUACAUCCACUCACGCCCC
rnacentral:lncRNA from 1 species